rnacentral:rRNA from 1 species
AUUGAACGCUGGCGGCAUGCCUUACACAUGCAAGUCGAACGGCAGCACGGGAGCAAUCCUGGUGGCGAGUGGCGAACGGGUGAGUAAUAUAUCGGAACGUGCCCAGUCGUGGGGGAUAACGCAGCGAAAGCUGUGCUAAUACCGCAUACGAUCUACGGAUGAAAGCGGGGGAUCGCAAGACCUCGCGCGAUUGGAGCGGCCGAUAUCAGAUUAGCCAGUUGGUGAGGUAAAGGCUCACCAAGGCGACGAUCUGUAGCUGGUCUGAGAGGACGACCAGCCACACUGGAACUGAGACACGGUCCAGACUCCUACGGGAGGCAGCAGUGGGGAAUUUUGGACAAUGGGCGCAAGCCUGAUCCAGCAAUGCCGCGUGCAGGAUGAAGGCCUUCGGGUUGUAAACUGCUUUUGUACGGAACGAAACGGCGAGCUCUAAUACAGUUUGCUAAUGAUGGUACCGUUAGAAUAAGCACCGGCUAACUACGUGCCAGCCGCCGCCGUAACAC